GACAGAGGGUGCAAACGUUGUUCGGAAUUACUGGGCGUAAAGGGUGCGUAGGCGGGUCUUUAAGUCAGGGGUGAAAUCCUGGAGCUCAACUCCAGAACUGCCUUUGAUACUGAAGAUCUUGAGUUCGGGAGAGGUGAGUGGAACUGCGAGUGUAGAGGUGAAAUUCGUAGAUAUCGGGAGGAACACCAGUGGCGAAGGCGACUACCUGGCCUGUUCUUGACGCUGAGGCGCGAAAGCUAGGGGAGCAAACGGG
rnacentral:rRNA from 1 species